AAUAGUUUUGUUGAGGCCUUAUCCACAUGACCUUUAUGUCUCCCUUGCCUCCCUAUGAGGAGGGAGGAUGUGUCUCACUUGUCAUGUUUGCGAAAAAAAAUUUAAAAUAGUGAUUCAUAAAGGAAAAGAAAACUUACUUUGUUUAUUGCCGUCUACUUCCCAGCAAAAGGGAUAAAAACUGUGAAUCUGUGAGUUAGUUUUUUGUUUUCUUUUUAUAAUAGACUCAAAUGCCAUGACAAGAAUUUGUUAGUUUGGAGGUAUAUGUUGUCAUUCAUGUGCAUGUAGGAUGAUUCUCUAUUUGAGAAUAAAUCAUUACUUUCAAAAUGAAACAUGAUUUCAAAAGGGUGUUCAGGCAUGCUCCACCAUGAGGAACCCCUCUCAUGCAUACGUGGCCUAAAUGUUAAUAUCUUCUUUUGAAAAGUUCAUGUCAAUCAAUCAUUACAUGCCCCACAUGUUCAACUUGUGACAUGUGAGCUUCUUCAUGACACAAUCAAUUACAAUGUCCCACUUGUCUUGGGAGUUAUAUUUUCAAGAUAGUUUUGCACUAGGAUGACACCUAAUGAACCUGCCUUGGGGCUCCAAGGAUAGGUCCAUUUUCUCUUCUGUACAUGCAUUCUGCACAUCUCUCCCUAUGCCCUAGUGCUAUAACAUUUGAAUAAGAAUGCCUAUCUCUAAGUACAUCCUUGGGUCAUUUGUAGGCCCAUGGAAUAUGGAUACUUGCCUAUAGCAAUUGUUGAGGAGAUUUUCUUACUCUUACCUCUUGGUGAAGGUGAUACCAUACACAGUUGAAAUGAAUGGUUGUUUCUUUCCCGUCAUGGGAAUGAAUGUUCUUUCCAAAAUGGUUGUAGCUAGCUGCCUGAUGCUAAAAUUCUUGCUUGGGUCAGGAGCAGGGCUUUGAGGGUCCAAAAUAGACUUGGUGGUGGAGUUGGUCUUUCACCACUGAACACCUUGUGAUUGGUUUGAGAAUCUUGGUUUGGUGGCUAGAGCUGAAGGCUCAUCAAGGUGAGAUUAACAUGUAUUGUGCAUGCUUCCACCAGAAUGAGAGGGAAAGAGAAGAAAUUGUAUCUCUAUGACACAUUGCAUCUCCAAAGUCUGCCACAACAUUAUGGAAUAAUUAACAUGGGAGUUACUAUUCAGAAGCACUAUAAAAAGGCCUCCAUUUCGAACCAAACAAGAGAAGAAGAAAUUCCUGCUCUCCUAAUCUAUGUCAAUAAGGCGUUGUUAUCAUAUUUUAAUUAAGGGUUUAACCCCUUUAAUGUGUAGCUCAUUGCAUCCUGCAUAUACAUCCAUUAUUCCCAUAGAAGAAAUCUAGGUUCCCUAUACAACAUAAUCUAGGAGCAUCACAUGCUGAAAUGCAAGUAAUUCUUAUGGAUUCACUUCUAUUGUCAUUCACAUAUUUUGAUCAUACAAUUUCUUUUUGUUUUUCUCAGUUUUAAGAUCUCUCAUCAUUGUUGGAUGCAACUCUUCAUCAGAGGCAAUGUGUAUUUGUAUUCCCAUAAGCUGGAUUUUCCUAAGGUCACCAGAUUAUUCAUUUUCCAUCACCUUUGAUCAUUGAAGGGGGAAUCAAAGCUGAUCAAUAAUGUAUAUUUACUCUUUGUUUUGUGUUGCUGUAUGGCAAGAAGGCUUGAAUUAAACGUCAACCAUCUUGAUUCAAAAUUGUUUUUACUUCAGAUUUUGUCAGCCAUUCAAAUUUUGAAGAAAAAGGACAUUGUAUUGAUGGGGAGGCAGCCUACUGAAUCAUGGGAUAAACUUUUUGAUAUUGAGGUCAACUGAUAUGUGGGAACACUGGAGAAGAAUUUGGGAGAAAACUUUCUUAAUUUGAGAUAAAGUGAUCUGUUGCUUUGGGUUACACAAGGGCAUUAUAACAUUGUGAUGCCUUCAAUGGUUCAUAAAUUUUUGAGAACCUAUGGGUGGGUUUACCACUCGAAGGCAACCCCAUACUACUAGAAAUAUAGUUGGCUUACUAACUUCAGGCUUGGGAUGGGAAUGCCAUUCCAGCAUUCCUCAUCAUAAAAUUGUAAUUACCAUUACAUGAGAAAAGACCAUGAGGAGCUAUCGUUGAAUAGGUUGAAAAAUUCUUUUGUUUGUAAUCUUUGGGUGUGGUCUAAACCUGUUGUAAAUGAAGGUCCUCUCUCUUUACUCGGUU